rnacentral:lncRNA from 1 species
GUGGAUGAUUAACCUGUAGCUUUGCCUCGUCAUAAAGAGUUACAGGAAAGAGCUGUUUGAAUCAGGGUCAAAGUGCGUCUAAAGGAGCGUCAGACGCAGCCGAGCAGAGACACUGAGACACUGAGUCUCUGAGUCUCUGCAGUUCGUCCAGUCUCAGGACGAGACUCAGAGGAAAUGGCAGAAGGAAAAGCAAAGCCUCCAGAGGGCAGCACUGAGCCACAGCUCUAUGGGACAGAAAGCAGCUCCACAGCCUCAGUGUCCGCUCUGUCCAUGAAGAGUGACAGGUCUAAACGUUUCCCUCUA